rnacentral:rRNA from 1 species
AGUUUUGAUCCUGGCUCAGGAUGAACGCUAGCGACAGGCUUAACACAUGCAAGUCGAGGGGCAGCGGGGUGUAGCAAUACGCCGCCGGCGACCGGCGCACGGGUGAGUAACGCGUAUGCAACUUGCCUAUCAGAGGGGGAUAACCCGGGCGAAAGUCGGACUAAUACCGCAUGAAGCAGGGAUCCCGCAUGGGAAUAUUUGCUAAAGAUUCAUCGCUGAUAGAUAGGCAUGCGUUCCAUUAGGCAGUUGGCGGGGUAACGGCCCACCAAACCGACGAUGGAUAGGGGUUCUGAGAGGAAGGUCCCCCACACUGGUACUGAGACACGGACCAGACUCCUACGGGAGGCAGCAGUGAGGAAUAUUGGUCAAUGGGCGUAAGCCUGAACCAGCCAAGUCGCGUGAGGGAUGAAGGAUCUAUGGUUCGUAAACCUCUUUUAUAAGGGAAUAAAGUGCGGGACGCGUCCCGCUUCGCAUGUACCUUAUGAAUAAGGAUCGGCUAACUCCGUG